GAUGAACGCUGGCGGCGUGCCUAAUACAUGCAAGUCGAGCGAAAAGACGCGGAGCUUGCUCCUCUGACGUUAGCGGCGGACGGGUGAGUAACACGUGGAUCCCCUACCUAUAAGACUGGGAUCACUUCGGGAAACCGGAGCUAAUACCGGAUAAUAUAUUGAACCGCAUGGUUCAAUAGUGAAAGACGGUUUUGCUGUCUCUUAUAGAUGGAUCCGCGCCGCAUUAGCUAGUUGGUAAGGUAACGGCUUACCAAGGCGACGAUGCGUAGCCGAACUGAGAGGGGGAUCGGCCACACUGGAACGGAGACACGGUCCAGACUCCUACGGGAGGCAGCAGUAGGGAAUCUUCCGCAAUGGGCGAAAGCCUGACGGAGCAACGCCGCGUGAGUGAUGAAGGUCUUCGGAUCGUAAAACUCUGUUAUUAGGGAAGAACAAAUGUGUAAGUAACUAUGCACGUCUUGACGGUACCUAAUCAGAAAGCCACGGCUAACUACGUG
rnacentral:rRNA from 1 species